UACGAAGGGGGGCUAGCGUUGUUCGGAUUUACUGGGCGUAAAGGGCGCGUAGGCGGAUUUUUAAGUCAGGGGUGAAAUCCCAAGGCUCAACCUUGGAACUGCCUUUGAUACUGGGGAUCUUGAGUCCGGGAGAGGUGAGUGGAACUGCGAGUGUAGAGGUGAAAUUCGUAGAUAUUCGCAAGAACACCAGUGGCGAAGGCGGCUCACUGGCCCGGAACUGACGCUGAGGAGCGAAAGCGUGGGGAGCGAACAGG
rnacentral:rRNA from 1 species